rnacentral:rRNA from 1 species
GGUUAAUCGAUGCAGCGCGAAGAACCUUACCUGGGCUUGACAUCCCGGGAAUCCCCCUGGGAAACAGGGGAGUGCCCUUCGGGAACCCGGUGACAGGUGCUGCAUGGCUGUCGUCAGCUCGUGUCGUGAGAUGUUGGGUUAAGUCCCGCAACGAGCGCAACCCUUGUCUUUAAUUGCCAUCAUUUAGUUGGGCACUUUAAAGAGACUGCCGGUGUUAAGCCGGAGGAAGUGGGGAUGACGUCAAGUCCUCAUGGCCUUUAUGCCCAGGGCUACACACGUGCUACAAUGGGCGGUACAAAGAGAAGCAACCUCGCGAGGGUGAGCAAAUCUCAAAAAAGCCGUUCUCAGUUCGGAUUGAAGUCUGCAACUCGACUUCAUGAAGUCGGAAUCGCUAGUAAUCGCGGAUCAGCAUGCCGCGGUCGAAUACGUUCCCGGGCCUU